UACGGGAGGCAGCAGUGGGGAAUAUUGCACAAUGGGCGAAAGCCUGAUGCAGCUAUGCCGCGUGUAUGAAGAAGGCCUUAGGGUUGUAAAGUACUUUCAUCGGGGAGGAAAAACAAAACUAAUAAUUUUAUUUCUUGACGUUACCCGAAAAAGAAGCACCGGCUAACUUCGUGCCAGCAGCCGCGGUAAUACGGAGGGUGCUAGCGUUAAUCAGAAUUACUGGGCGUAAAGAGCACGUAGGUGGUUUUUUUAAGUCAGAUGUGAAAUCCCUGGGCUUAACCUGGAACUGCAUUUUGAAACUGAAAUACUAGAGUAUCGUAGAGGGAGGUAGAAUUCUAGGUGUAGCGGUGAAAUGCGUAGAUAUCUGGAGGAAUACCUGUGGCGAAAGCGGCCUCCUAAACGAAUACUGACACUGAGGUGCGAAAGCGUGGGGAGCAAACAGGGAUUAGAUACC
rnacentral:rRNA from 1 species